CGGACGGGUGAGUAACGCGUGAGAAUCUGCCUUCAGGUCGGGGACAACCACUGGAAACGGUGGCUAAUACCCGAUGUGCGCAACGUGAAAGAUUUAUCGCCUGAAGAGGAGCUCGCGUCUGAUUAGCUAGUUGGUGGGGUAAAAGCUCACCAAGGCGACGAUCAGUAGCUGGUCUGAGAGGAUGAUCAGCCACACUGGGACUGAGACACGGCCCAGACUCCUACGGGAGGCAGCAGUGGGGAAUUUUCCGCAAUGGGCGAAAGCCUGACGGAGCAAGACCGCGUGAGGGAGGAAGGCUCUUGGGUUGUAAACCUCUUUUCUCAGGGAAGAACAAAAUGACGGUACCUGAGGAAUCAGCCUCGGCUAACUCCGUGCCAGCAGCCGCGGUAAUACGGAGGAGGCAAGCGUUAUCCGGAAUUAUUGGGCGUAAAGCGUCCGCAGGUGGCACUUCAAGUCUGUCGUCAAAGACUGGGGCUUAACCCUGGAAAGGCGGUGGAAACUGAAGCGCUAGAGUGUGGUAGGGGUAGAGGGAAUUCCCGGUGUAGCGGUGAAAUGCGUAGAGAUCGGGAAGAACAUCGGUGGCGAAAGCGCUCUACUGGACCACAACUGACACUCAGGGACGAAAGCUAGGGGAGCGAAUGGGAUUAGAUACCCCAGUAGUC
rnacentral:rRNA from 1 species